GUGAGAAUCUGCCCUCAGGAGGGGGAUAACGGUUGGAAACGACCGCUAAUACCCCAUAUGCCUAUUGGUGAAAUGAAUUUCGCCUGAGGAUGAGCUCGCGUCUGAUUAGCUAGUUGGUGAGGUAAUGGCUCACCAAGGCUUCGAUCAGUAGCUGGUCUGAGAGGAUGAUCAGCCACACUGGGACUGAGACACGGCCCAGACUCCUACGGGAGGCAGCAGUGGGGAAUUUUCCGCAAUGGGCGAAAGCCUGACGGAGCAACGCCGCGUGAGGGACGAAGGCCUCUGGGCUGUAAACCUCUUUUCUCAAGGAAGAAGAUAUGACGGUACUUGAGGAAUAAGCCACGGCUAAUUC
rnacentral:rRNA from 1 species